rnacentral:rRNA from 1 species
GGCUUAGAGUUUGAUCAUGGCUCAGGAUAAACGCUGGCGGCGCACAUAAGACAUGCAAGUCGAACGGAAGUCGUUAUAAAUGAAUUGAAGAUUUAUCUGAUUGAAAUUUAUAACAAUGGCUUUAGUGGCGGACUGGUGAGUAACGCGUAAGGAAUCUACCUAUUAGAGGGGAAUAACAAUGAGAAAUCAUUGCUAAUACCGCAUAUGCCAUAGUGAAGGCAUCUUCAUAGUGGGAAAGGAGCAAUUCGCUAAUAGAUGAUCUUGCGUCUGAUUAGUUAGUUGGUGGGGUAACGGCCUACCAAGACGACGAUCAGUAGCCGGACUGAGAGGUUGAACGGCCACAUUGAGACUGAGAUACGGCCCAGACUCCUACGGGAGGCAGCAGUCGGGAAUAUUGCGCAAUGGAGGAAACUCUGACGCAGUGACGCCGCGUAUAGGAAGAAGGUUUUCGGAUUGUAAACUAUUGUCGUUAGGGAAGAAAAAAGACAGUACCUAAGGAGGAAGCUCCGGCUAACUACGUGCCAGCAGCCGCGGUAAUACGUAGGGAGCAAGCGUUAUCCGGAUUUAUUGGGUGUAAAGGGUGCGUAGACGGGUAAUCAAGUUAGUUGUGAAAUCCCUUGGCUUAACUGAGGAACUGCAACUAAAACUGGUUAUCUUGAGUACAGGAGAGGUAAGUG